UUUUACUCUUUCCCAAAUCAUUCAUACCUUUUUAGAUAAUCAUAAUAUGAAUCAAUUGUAUAGCAAUUGCUAUGAGAGUUGAAUUAACCUUCAAGCAAUGAAUUAUAAAAAGGAGAUGGGCAAUGGCAUUGGGAGGCAAUUUGUUAAAAGAAGUAUUUCAAGGAGGUAUGAUAAGUGUUCGAUCAUGAAGAAGAAGAAGCAAAACGCCAUUCACUAAGGGAUAACUCGCGCACGCAGAAGGGAGGAAGCAGGGGAAAAUUGCUCCAUCUUCCAUCGUCUCCAGUCACCAUUGGAUAACCUUUCGUCGCGGGGUCUCAAGUUCCGAUAUAGCCGCUAGCUACCAUCGCCGAUCAUUACGAGUUCCAACUCCUUCGUUGGUUGCGCCGUCGACCAUCAGUCUCAGGAGGAACACGUUUGUUCAUUUCCUCGAGAGCACCAUUCCAGAACCAAAAAAAAAAAAAAAAUCGAGCAAGGAAAAUUCAUCUAAAAAAAGCGAUUCCGUCCGAUUCAGUUGGCGAUUUCAAGCGUCCUGAAUCGAUCACAGUGGCCGUCGCCGGCAUCAACAGCCUCUUCAAUGCCGCGACUCGUCUCCUUCGUUUCUCUUCCGCGGCCGAGAGCUUCGAAAUGUUGUCGUUCCGCUCGAAGCUUCUCCGCCUGUUCAGGUUUCGAUCAUCGACGCGUUCUAGAGUUUCUUUCAGUGAUUCGUGCGCCAACCCGCGGCCUCAAUCCACUUGAUUGACCAGUGGUUCCCGUGAUCCUUUGGUGAUUGGUGGUGGUCAGCGAGAUGAGGAGGCUUGGAGUCGCUGGCACAUGCAUGAUCUUUGGUGAUGAUCAUAGUACGCCCUGUCGAACAGAAUUGAGACAAUAUUGCUGAGCAUAAAUCACGAUCAUGCCAAUUCAGAUCACGAACUUUGGCCGACACAUGUUUUGGUCACUAACUGGAGCAAUGUUAUGGCUGAUUGCUAGCCGUGUCCUUGCUGCUGUGUUGCCCCACAAUGUCCUGGACCAUUAAGCUUUGCUUCUGCCCAUGCCUUGCAGUCCAUUGUUGCCAUUGUAAUUGCUGUGGUAAACCUACCUUCCAUAAUGGCUAUCCAAUUGAUCUCCACUUGCAGCAGCACUGUCAUCAGAAGAUACUGCCAUACGUUACUGAUAUGGAUUGACGUACCAAUAGAGCUAUAUCCACCGCGUGUUGUUAAAAAUCGGAUGGCCUCAUACCAUCGGCUUGUUUCUGUUCCAACUGAUUUUUAGAGUUGACUGUAUGUUCAGAUUUCCUUCACUCCUUUGUUUCUUAUGUUCAGGAUUUUGCGUGUCUUCUUAAAUUGAAUCAUGGGAAAGCUAAGUGGUUCGAA